rnacentral:rRNA from 1 species
UACGUAGGGGGCAAGCGUUGUCCGGAAUUAUUGGGCGUAAAGCGCGCGCAGGCGGCUGUUUAAGUCUGGUGUUUAAGCCCGGGGCUCAACCCCGGUUCGCACUGGAAACUGGACGGCUUGAGUGCAGGAGAGGGAAGUGGAAUUCCACGUGUAGCGGUGAAAUGCGUAGAGAUGUGGAGGAACACCAGUGGCGAAGGCGACUUCCUGGCCUGUAACUGACGCUGAGGCGCGAAAGCGUGGGGAGCAAACAGG